GAAUACAAAGUAAUUAAUUAUUUCAACGUGACUAGUCCCACCCACUUUUUUUUUUCCUAGUUUUGAGUCAAACUGGGAUGGUGCGGGGAACAGGUAGCCUGAGCGGCUGCCGGCUGAGGUACGGCAGGGUACAGGCCUAUCUUGUACCUGGGUACCCCAGUCCCCGCACUAAUGUUUGCUCUGACUCUGAGCCUCUUGAGUUGGUCAAAAAAUACUCAUUGAGUUGGUCUGAGCCGCUGAGCGAGGGAGAGAGCAGAAUGACUUAAUGACCCUGGGAGAGCAGCCGCCCCCAUGACCAAAAUUAUUAUACUCUUAAAUGCAAAUGAAAAGCAUCUGAGACUCAUAAAUGUCCCUACUUAGGCCUUAAAAAUGCCCCUAAAAAAGGUGAGUUUUAAAAAAAAACCCGCUGAAUGGCUCGCUUCGCUCGCCAGUUUGGAGUUGGUCAUAAAAUGACUGAGUUGGUCAUAGUUUACCUUACCCCCCCCCCCAACUGCAUUCCCUUCGGGCCAUCCCUGCAUGGGCUGAAUCCCGUGUGGGCUGAAUUCCACGUCCACCGUCUGAGGAGGUGGAAGCAUGUGAUGGAGCGAAAGACUACUUUGGAGUGGUACAGGGAAAAGGAAGCCCCGCAGUGUGUCAGCUGGUAUGAUGGAAGCCUGGGUGGUGAUCUUCUCUUCCAAGCUCGAGCGCAGUGUAUGAAUGUGAAUGCAAGAAACUACAGGUGGUCUGAGUCCCGCAGCAAAGUGUGUCAGAUGUGUGACAGGGGUGUGGAUGAAACUGUCGUGCAUGUGAUACUGUGUGUGGGAGGUACCGGAGAGAAAGGACGGAGAUGAUGAGGGUGGCACUGAGUGAGAUGGGCUGGGAUGUGAAUGGGAGGAUUGCAAGGACAGAGAGGGAAUGGAUGCUGCUGCUGCUGGGACUGAGUGAUGAAGCAAAUGAUAGAAUUAUAGAAGCCAUGAAGAGUUUUCUGGAAAAGAUGUGGUGUGCAAGAAAUAGGGAAUUGGAAGAUUUGUAAUGGAUACUGCUUGUGUUGUUUUUAUUUUUACAGGGUGUGCCGAUACGAAGGCCUGACUCUCCAACGGGUCACCUGUACAGCAAGAGCAAGAGCAAGAGAGAGCAGCUGUGACCUGAAGGGCCUUGGCAGUGUUUCUCGCGGAGGAGGAGCCCCGCGGCGCCCAGGCACACGACUUUGUGUCCCGGCGGCCACCACUGGUGCUGGUGUUGAGUGAGGCCGUGGGACAGGUGCUGUGCUCAGCGCCUCCUCCGUACUCGCUGCCGCUGACUUCAGGACUCCUUGGUGCAUCCUGCGCCUUGCCUGCUGGAUUGGUCCCUGAGUGUGGCUCUGUAGGAGCCUUGCCACCGCCUGCUCCAGCAUCUCUGAGGUUCCUGCAAGACCAGCCGACUCCUCCCACCUGGAGUAGUGUUGCAGUGGAGGCUGCAAGGCGGGGCAGCAGCUGGAGUGGCUGGGAGCAGCAGGAGCAGACUGCUACUGGUGUGAGGUUCAGGAGUGAUGAGAAACACCACCACCACCAACAACAACAGCCGCUACUGCUGGCAUCUCAUCCACAAAGGGGGAAGUUUGAAUUUCAGAAGUGUGAGAAGAUCUGAGAGUGAGAGCAAGUUUACUAGCCACAGCCAAGUGUGUGGGAAAAGACAUGCAGGGAAGGAUGACCUCAACAAAUACACCCACACACUCUGGUGUAAGACCUCAUGAAAGCCGGGAGAUCAGCAUCCAUUGGUGUGGGUUCUGCUCCGAGGACUUCCUGGGCCCGAGGGAGUGCAAGGAACAUAUAAGUAAGGAGCACCCCAGCAGGAGGCCGCGGGGGGGUGGUCCGGGGCAGCACACCCCCCGGGGCAGCCAGGUGAAGUACCCGCCCCAGCCCGGCACACUCAUGGGCCACAGGAAGGCACGCUCACCUGGCCAGGAAGAGACUACAGGUCCAGGUGGAGGUGGAGGAGAGGAGGGGGAGGAGGUGGAGGGCAAGAGGAAGGUGAGGACUCCGAGGGCUCUGCAGGAACAGUUUUGGCUGCAGAAACAACGGCCAAAACCUGUGUGUUCCGUGGAGGUGGAGAAGAAGCACAAGAGUUCUCUGUCCACCUGCAAGUACUACAAGUUUUCCUCGGAGGCCAAUCUGAGGCCCAUAGGGAGUGCCACGGAGGCGGGGGCGGGAAGGGCGGCGAGAGGGGCUUCUCCUGCUCCCAGUGUGGCUUCAGGUGUGAUAAGUGGUCGGUGGGUCAGCUUCACCUCUGCAAGGAUCACGCGCUGGACAUGACCUCCUGAGCUGCGGGAUCUGCCACACCUACAAGACGUGCACCCAGCAGCGCCUCCUCGUCCACCAGAAGGUACACUCCGACGUCAGGGAGCACAUUUGUACGGGUGUUGGCCCUGAGGGAGUAAGCCGUUACAAAGGCUGAAGUUGGAUCCGAAAGGGACAACUACCUCCCGAAUCAAGACCAAGACCAAGAUGAGUUGUAAUCAGCAUUGUUACUUAACUUCAGUAAGCUUGCUACCAUUACCAACAGAAUAAUGAGUUGUCAAUAACAUUGUUACUUAACUUCAGUAAGCUUGCUACCAUUACCAACAGAAUAAUGAGUUGUCAAUAACAUUGUUACUUAACUUCAGUAAGCUUGCUAACAUUACCAACAGAAUAAUGAGUUGUCAAUAACAUUGUUACUUAACUUCAGUAAGCUUGCUACCAUUACCAACAGAAUAAUGAGUUGUCAAUAACAUUGUUACUUAACUUCAGUAAGCUUGUUAACAUUACCAACAGAAUGUGAAUAAACUUCAUAAUAAUCUAACCUUGUGUUGCAUAACCCCAACAACUAGGAAGCACACUUAUUGUAAGAUCUUAAAAACAGAGGAACGAAGCUGAAGGCAACACCCUUGCACCCUGGCAGGUGAGUGGCCCAGGUGAGCUGCCUGACACCCCUGCACCCUGGCAGGUGAGUGGCCCAAGUGAGCUGCCUGACACCCUUGCACCCUGGCAGGGGUAACAGGACGAUUCGACGGCGGUGCAAUUCGACGACAUCGUCGAUCCGCCCAAAAUCACGUCCCCGUCGAAACGCCCCGGAAUUUUCCGUCGAAUCGUCCACAUAACAUAAUAUUAUAAUCACCUAACAAAAUACUAUCAUAAUAAAAUAUGACAUAUAACGUAUGUUUAAAAUAUGACGUAUAACAUAUGUUUCUGAUUCGUGAAUCAGAAACAGUAUACUGUGUGUACGUCUCACUCAGGCGCAAAAAUGAAACUAUUCAUCAGUCAAUACUUUGUUCAAAUCAAUACGGUUCAGGUUCAUGAUUCAGGUUUAAUAUACCUUGUAGUGGGUUCAGACCCUUAUGAUUAUUGUCUGUCUCAGUCUCACUCUCCAAGCUGGCUAAAGAGGGUGUACACACUGACGUCUCUCCCUAUUCCAGCUCUCAAAUCACCUAAAUUCUGGUAUUUCAUUAACUUUAUAGUAUUAUUGUGAGGGAAGAUUUUAACGAAAUUAGAAAUUAACACUUGCUUACUGAAGUUACCAUACUGGACGCUACAGAGCUACUACUCGUUUGACAUAAUUACGGUAUCAAGGAUGAUCACGAGGAAGCUGCACAUGGACAGGUAUCAUAUAUCUUUCGCUUUCGGCAACAUCAAGUGAUUGGCAACUUUUGGUCUUGUGUUUUUAUCUCCUUCCAUUACUUUGCAUUUUUUAAGUUGUGUUCUUGUAUUGCUUGUAGGGUUGUUCCUUACCCAUGCAUCACCUGCUGAAGGGAAGUUCGACCUAAGCAGCAAGCCCUCCAGUGUGAUGUGUGUGACCAGUGGCAGCAUUGGACCUGCCACACUGGCAUUUCCCAGGAGGAAUACAGACAAGCCGUGCAGUCAAAGAUCGACAUACAGUGGACUUGCACAGGAUGUGGUGAUAUCUCCGAUGUACCCACUACCACUUCACUAUCACAACCAAUAACACCCACCACCGCUUCACUAUUACAACCAGAAACACCCACUACCACUUCAAUAACACAACCAGAAACACCAGCUAACACUUCAAUAACACAACCAGAAACAUCAGCUACCACUUCACUAAUACUAUCAGAAACUACCACCCCACUAACACAACCAGAAACACCAGCACCAGUUACACUUCCCUCUACCAGCACACCUGUUGCAUCACUACCUCGACUUGUCUCAUCAAUGUAUGACUCCUCUGGUUCUGACUCAGAGUCACUCUCAGGUUCCCUACCAAUAACCCACUUAUCCUCCAUACCAUCAUAUCUGAAUGCAGAGUUUUCACCAGAUGCCAACUCUUUUCCUUCCUCCCCACCUCCAACAGCAUCACCAACAUCGAUGGAACUUCGUCCUACUUCUUCUGAUGUAAAUGACAUCGAAGACCACCCAGUAAUGUCAUUCAUUCACCCAUCCUUGCAUGAAGAGUCAAACCUGGAACCUACUACUCCUAUUCCAGAUGAGAUACUACCAGAAUCUGAUGAAGCGGAGUUUACUAUCGUAGUUGGAGGAUCAAAGCGUGGAGGAGACAUCCUUUUAAGUCGUGGUUACUCUUAUAACAAGGAUGGCAAGGUUAAUAAGAAAGGUGACCAACGUUGGAGGUGUACUGUCCGCAACAAGUCUGUGUACUGCCUUGCUUCUAUCACCCAGCAUGGCGAAACUUUCAAGAGAGGGCCUCAUCCUCAUAGAUGUUCUCCAAGAGACUGUGCCCUGCCUGCUGCCAACAUCAAGGCCUAUGUGCGACAACAAGGAAAAGAGCGCCCAUUCGCCUCAGGAUCGACCCUUACUAAAGAAGCAGUACACAAACACCUACCAGCUGAUGCUCCUGUGUCCAGCAUGCCAAAGAUGUCCUCUAUUGUCCGCACCACCAAUUGUCUACGCCAGGCAAGGAGACCAAAACAACCGAAGGAUCUGAAUUUCACUUGGGUAACAGAAGAACUACCUGACAAUUUUGUACAGCAUGACAUGGUAGUAGGAUCUGCCUGCCAUGUGAUCAUGUUCACUGCCCUGCUUCUUUCACUUCUUUCAAAGGCAAAGACAUGGUAUGUGGAUGCAACUUUCAAGGCAGUCCAGCGACCAUUCCAGCAGUUGUGGAGCAUCCACAGUUUCAUACGGCAAGGUGACAACAUGAAGCAGGUGCCUCUUGUAUAUGUCUUGAUGUCACGCAGAAGUAAAGAGGAUUACAUAAAGAUCUUGAAUUACAUAAUGGAAAGAGUUGCCAAUAGACCGGGAGCCCAGAGGGUUGGGGGUAGCCGGAAUACUAACCAAUUUUCCUUCCUGCCAGUGUUCCAUACGUGCAUUGUUGCAUAUGAAACUGGACGACUGGCAUGAUAUCUGUGGUGGGUGUGGCUUCAGCAGCCAUUUAAAUUCGACACCUCAGCUACCCUAGGUUAGCUUUUUGACCUAACCACUUAUAAGUACCUAGAAUGUAUGAGUUGUGGGUGGAGUUGUUCCAAAAAAUUGAUGACAGCAAUUUUUGGUGGUGGGAUGGACCUGCCAGUCCCAAUUAUGUAAGCCACUCCAGCUACCCUAGGUCAGCCUGAGAGCUAACUUCUCAGAACCUUUGCCAAAAUGUUUGUGAGGAUCCCAGGAGUCAUAAAUGGCCAAUGACAGCAGUUUCCAAUGGUGGGGUACCCCCGCCAGCCCCGCCCAAAGUGCCAUGCCCCCAAAGUUACCCUAGGUCAGCCUGAGAGCUAACUUCUCAGAACCUUUGCCAAAAUGUUUGUGAGGGCCCCAGGAGUCAUAAAUGGCCAAUGACAGCAGUUUCCAAUGGUGGGG